AUCUUCUUCCUAUCUGCCAACCACCUCUUCCACUCUCUACCGGCCAACAUGUCAACGUCUAUCCACAGUGUGUCAGUGUCCGAACCCUAACCGCCAUGGCUCUAGCUCCUCCUAUUUUCCCCGAUCAGGCCCCUGAGCGGGCCAGCCCCUAAAUCCGUCUUCUUUAAAUAGAUCUAUAGUUUCCCAAUAAAGUUGCCCGGAUGGGUAUUUAGGAUAGGCUCGGUCGUCGUUUCCCAGUGGUGCUGCUCACCGUCGCCGUCGCCGGCCUCAUCCAUCCAGGAGCACGCCAACAACAGCGGGGGACACGGGAGGCAAAGGCGGCUGUAGGUGCAACGGCGGUCGUCCCGCCGUCGGACCCUGGGUGGCCCCUCGUUGAAUCGGAACGUGAUCGGCCUGGAUUCGGUUGCAUUUGCCAUCGAUGUCGCCGAGGACAUCGGCAUCCCGGCCCUUCUGUUGAGACUGGAGUCCACCACUACUGGAGUCCACCACUCCCCGUGCAUCCGCCCACACACUGCCUCCUCUGUUGCCUGACACCACAACGACAAACACUACCGCCCUGGUCCGCCAGCACUGCGCCGCCCCCGAUAUGCUCGCUCCCAAGCCCUCGCCCCAAUUCAGCGUGGCCUCAAAACGAGGAGCGGACGCAGUGAUCCCCAACCCAACCUUGCAGGGAGGCUCUCGCCGAUCGUCAAACCAGAUGAACCGAUCCAGGUAUCCUUUGACACGGCAAGUGAGUCCACCGUUGUUUCCACUCGUCCUUCCUCUACCGUGGCCACGUCGGUCCUAACCCAUCCACGACAACCUCUCUGGACACCUACGAUGCCUGGGGUUUCGUCAUCUCUCCCUCGUCGUCCUCUCCCAGGUGUCCGAUUUCUCUUUCUCCCUCUCCGAUUUUUUCCUCAGUCAUUAAACCCUCAUCCCCUGUUCUAUGGUUGCUUUCACCCUGACGCUUCCUUGCCAUGAUUAGCUACGCAACAAUUGACUGGUGAUCGUGACCCUGACAACGACGGCUUUGCAGCUGUCCAAGAGCAACUGCCCCAAGUUCCUCUGGUUUCUACUACCUCCUCGCUGCUCGCAGCGACACAGUCAUAUGUUUGCUCUCACCCUUCCUGUCCCAUUGUCUUGAUUGUGUCAAACUGGUGUGCAUAAAUAUUAUGAGUGACAUGUGAUUUGUGAACAGCCUGACUUUUAGUACUGCUAUGCGUAUGAAGUUGAGCUCAGGACUCUAUCAGAUGGCUUUGUGGUAAAAUGCAUGACGGCAAACACCUGAGAUAUGUUCAGAACACUCGUGUACUAAGACUGAGGGACUCCGGUCUCACCAUGCUAUUGUGCUGAAGAUGAAAGAUGGCAGCAACCUCUGCUCCCUGAUAUUGUCAUGGAAACCCCAAGUACCAUGUUUCUGGCUGCGCUUCGGAACAUUCGAAUUCCAAGGCCAACUAUUUACAAUAUUGUAAAGGAGAUGACUGAAACGAUGGGGUAUGAGCGAGGUACGUUUGGGUGAAUAACAGAAAUGAUCCGUGGUGCAUACUAUUCGCUAUUGUAUCUUGCAAAGGUAACACUACUUCAAAGUAAACUAUCACAUAAAAAAGUGUGUCUAUCUGUCUGAAUUCAGAAGUAUGCAUCAUGAUGCUCAUAUUGGGAAUGAAGAAGAGACUACUAAUUUUGAACUCAAGCCAUCAGAUGCUAUCAACAUCACUUCCCAGUGCAAAGUGUACAUCAGAUUCUAUUGUGUUCUAGCGUCGGGUGGCAAUUGCUAGCCUCAAAUGACUGGCGUCGUUCCUCGUCCAUACACUAAGCCAUUUCUGAAACUAAAUGUUUUAAAAUCAAUUUACAUUAGUUCCCUGUUUUACUUUCAGUUGUUUUCCUGCCUCCCCUGCUCCCAUGUCUUGACACAAUUGUGAGUGGAAAAUUAAAAAUAAAUAUAUUUGGUUUCUGAUGUGAAAGGUUCAA